AACAAGGUAUGGCUUCUGCUGAGAUUGGUCCACCUGCCACCAGGAUGACUUUUUAGAAUUAGACUUGUACUCUCAGUAUGGUUGGAAUCUGAUUUUUGCGUAUGGCUAUCAGAAGGCCAUACUUGGCUGAUUUUUGGGGAUUUUUCUGUCCUCUCAAUGGUUUAGUUUGAAUUUUUUUUUUUUUUUUCUCAAGGUCCUUUUUCAUUUUUUGAUAAUUAAUCUCUGUUUCAUCUUCUAUACACACACAUAUAUUGAAAUUGAUUGUUGUGCUCAACCAUAUUUGGUCAUUUUGAGGAGUAGUUCUAAUAAAACGAGUGUAAUGGGCAUUGCAUUACCACAUAUGUAUAGGAAUACUUGUUUUCUGUUGGGGAAGAGACACAAGGAACUGCUGUGCUGUUAUUCCAAGGUUUGUGCUUUUCUUUCUUUUUUGUUUUUUUGUUGAAAAUAAAAUUUUAUAUAUAUAUAUAUAUAUAUAUAUAUUGGAUUGAUUUUGUGAUCUUCAUGUGUGAAGAGUGUGGUGAUGAAAGCCGCAUUCCUAAAACGGUAUUGAGAAGUGUAAUUUUAUUUAUUCACUUGUUUAAUAGAAUGGUGCAUAUAUAUAUAUAUAUAUAUAUAUUUUUUUUUUUUUUUUGGGAGCAUUUUGAUUCUCUGAUAAUUGAAGUUUACUUCUGUCCAACUACAAAAAUUCAGCACAGCAGUAGAUGAAUAUAGAAAGGAUCUAACAAUUGACAGGUAGGUUUUGAAAUGGGAUUUGAGUUGGCGAAAUAGGACAACCGAAAAUCACUUCCAAAAUGCUAAGAAAAAGAUGAUGACCAUUGCUUUUAGCAUCAAUCAUAGUCCUCUAAAUAUCAACCAAGAAGAAUCUCUGCAACUUCUUCAAUUAAAUGUUCUGUCGGAAGUUAUUGAUUUUUCCCUACUUUGCGUUUCUUUCUUCUUGGUUGGAACCCGUGAUUUUCAGUAUUAAUUAGGACUAAAUUUUGAUGAGAAACCAUUUCUUUUAGUCUAAAGGAAAAAUUUCAACUAUUUUUUAAAACUCCCAUAUCUUUAUGAUUUUGAAAGCCUUUUAGUUUCGUUUUUGAAAUAACGAUUCUUUUUUACUGGAAAAGUAAUACUAUAAAUUUGUCAAAAACGAAACUAAAAGUUUAAUUACAAACUACCACUACCACCGUGAUUUUGAAAGCCCUGCAUCUGUUGCUGCUGUCUGCUAAGUUUGCCAAGGGGCUAUUGGAGAAUUAAGCAUAGACAGCUAGAAUGAGAGAUGCUGAUCAAGCAAAGGAACGAGACAAGCGAGGGUGGUUGUUUAUCACAAAAAAAAAAAAAAAAAAAAAAAAAAAAAAAAAGAGACAAGCGAGGGUGGUUCAUCGCAUGAUCAAAAAUGCAUAAUUUUAAUUCAUGUCAAAUAUUUUUAUACGAAACAAGCUAGAUGUAAACCAAGAAUUGGUAUUAUGUUCUGUUUUUUGUUUUUGGUCUGUAAGGAAAUACAAUGUUCUUGACCAAAAAACAGAGAGCAGUACAAUAUUGUCUUAGUUGUCUAGAAAUUCAUUUAGAAAUUAUGUGAGGUUGCUAGCUCAUCAACCGAUACUGUCACCCAAAAAAAAAAUCCAUUCUAUAGAUAUAAAUUUUAUUUGUGUCCGUACAA